rnacentral:sRNA from 1 species
AGUGCGCAUCCAGACAUCGGAGGUGGAGGUUGUGAAAUUCGCCGUUCGAGAGCAGGAACGAAAAGCCCCUCUUCGUCUUACGUUCCGAAAGGAGGGCGUUUGUUGGGCCUUUCUCUCAGUCGUAAGGGAGGUGUCGACGGCCUGCGGGAGUCCUGAGUUGAGGCUUGCGGGAUCUUUUCCGGAGAAAGCGCAGGCUAAAGCCGCAGGCGAAGAUGUCCACCUACGUGAACGACAUGUGGCCGGGCUCGCCGCAGGAGAAGGAUUCGCCCUCGACCUCGCGGUCGGGCGGGUCCAGCCGGCUCUCGUCGCGAUCUAGGAGCCGCUCUUUUUCCAGAAGCUCUCGGUCCCAUUCCCGCGUCUCGAGUCGGUUUUCGUCCAGGAGUCGGUGCCGGAGGAGCAGGUCAAGGUCCCGUUCCCGAAGGCGCCACCAGCGGAAGUACAGGCGCUACUCGCGGUCAUACUCGCGGAGUCGGUCGCGAUCCCGCAACCGCCGUUACCGAGAGAGGCGCUACGGGUUCUCCAGGAGAUAUUACCGGUCUCCUUCGCGGUCCCGGUCCCGUAGCAGGUCGCGUUCUCGGGGAAGGUCGUACUGCGGAAGGGCGUACGCGAUCGCGCGGGGGCAGCGCUACUACGGCUUUGGUCGCACAGUGUACCCGGAGGAGCACAGCAGAUGGAGGGACAGAUCCAGGACGAGGUCGCGGAGCAGAACCCCCUUUCGCUUAAGUGAAAAAGAGCGAAUGGAGCUGUUAGAAAUAGCAAAAGCCAAUGCGGCGAAAGCUUUAGGAACAACCAGCAUUGACUUGCCAGCUAGUCUCAGAACUGUUCCUGUAGCCAAAGAAACAAGCCGUGGAAUAGGUGUAUCAAGUAAUGGUGCAAAGCCUGAAGUAAGUAUUCUAGGUUUGUCCGAACAAAACUUUCAGAAAGCCAACUGUCAAAUCUGAUUAGCUACUUAUAUCUUACCCUAGACUAUACUUUUUGGGAAGUCUAGAGCUAUAUAUAACGUGCUAAAUUCAAAGUAGCAAAUCUGAAGAUAGGCAAGGUCAUACCCAUGAAAAUGGGAGAUUAAUGAGCUUUAUUUGGCCGUGCAUAGUGCCUCCUGCCUGUAAUAAGGCAGAUGGCUUGAGUCCAGGAGUUCAAGAGUAGCCUGGGCAAUGUGGCAAAACCGCGUUUUCAAAAAAUACAAAAAUUAGCCAGGCAUGGUGGUGCAUGCCUGUAGUCCCAGCUGUUUGGGAGGCUGAGGCAGGAGGAUCUUUGAGCCCAGGAUGCUAAGGUUGCAGUGAGCCAAGAUUGCACCAUUGCACUCUAGCCUGGGCAGCAGAGCGAGACCCUGUCUCAAAAAAUACAUUUUAUUUUUUUCAUUUUCAGUUAACACUGUACUCUUAUAACACCGUUAUUAGCUGGUAUUUUGGUGAUUUCUAUUACUAGUUUUUCUAAGCUAUUUACAGAGUGUUUGUAGCUUUCAUUUGCAGCAUUAUGUUCCCACAAAUUCUGUACUCAGCAUAUACAGUAUAGUUUAUCUGCUUUAUUUCUGUCUUAUAGAAAUCAUGAAUGUGGUCUGCAGACAUUGAUGAAGAAAAUCUGUUGGUAAUUGAUACAUGGGCUAAAGCAUCAGAGGUUUAAUUUGAAGUUUAUGUUCACACACUGAAAACUUAGUUUUUUUGUUGGUAGAUCCAUGUGCAUGCUAGAAUUUGGGACAGGUACGAUUUGCAUAAAGUAUUAAAGUCAGUUUUUAAACUAAGCAAAGGUACACGUUGUAAUGGUGGGGCAUCUGUGAAAAAGAUGUCCCUUUCAUAAUAUAUGCAAUAUAUUCCAGAUGUUUUGAGAGAUUACAGAAGAGGAGGCCUGCUUCACUUGCAGAUAAGUUUAUUAUAAUUCUCCAGAAAUGUGCAGGAUGUGCCAUUAGCAAAUUGCACUGUACUUUUCACUCCAGCCUGGGUGACAGAGCUAAGACUCCCGUCUAGGGGGGUAAAAAAAAAGAUGCUGUAUCUAAAUAAAUCUGUGCAAUUGGGCCCAGAUGUGGGUUUGCUCAGUAUUAGUAGACAAGGUCUUCAUUCAGACGAUUAGGUGUCUAACUGGCACAUGCCUUAGUUUCUUAAAACGAGGUAUUUUCUGAUGUGGCUUUACUUUUCAAAAGUUAACUUGAUUCAACCUGAGAAAACUGAUUUAAAAAUUAGUUUAAAUUUGCCAGCAGGGAAGUAAAAUAAUUAUGGGAAGAGUGUCUUAAGCCUAAUACUAAAUCAGUUUUGUUAAGGGGAAAACUCAAUAGUUCUGAUACUUAGGCUGUUAGAUCCAAGUUGAUUUUUGUGUCUACAACUAAAUUUUGUAUACAAUUAGGCUAUUUUUUAAUAUAGGAUUUAGAAACCAAGGGUAUGUGUUUUAAAAUUACACUUUUUCUUGUCUAGGUGUCGGAAAAGGUAACAGAAGAUGGAACUCGAAAUCCCAAUGAAAAACCUACCCAGCAAAGAAGCAUAGCUUUUAGCUGUAAUAAUUCUGUAGCAAAGCCAAUACAAAAAUCAGCUAAAGCUGCCACAGAAGAGACAUCUUCAAGAUCACCAAAAAUAGAUCAGAAAAAAAGUCCAUAUGGACUGUGGAUACCUAUCUGAAAGAAGAAAACUAAUGGCUAAGUUUGCAUGAAAACUGCACUUUAUUGCAAGUUAGUGUUUCUAGCAUUAUCCCAUCCCUUUGAGCCAUUCAGGGGUACUUGUGCAUUUAAAAACCAACACAAAAAGAUGUAAAUACUUAAUACUCAAAUAUUAACAUUUUAGGUUUCUCUUGCAGAUAUGAGAGAUAGCACAGAUGGACCAAAGGUUAUGCACAGGUGGGAGUCUUUUGUAUAUAGUUGUAAAUAUUGUCUUGGUUAUGUAAAAAUGAAAUUUUUUAGACACAGUAAUUGAACUAUAUUCCUGUUUUGUAUAUUUAAUAAAUUUCUUGUUUUCAUUCUUAGA